GAAGCCCGCCUGACAAUGGAAGAAGGCAGCCCCAACAGAACAUUGAGAUACAAUGGGUCAUCACCAUCAGGAGGUGGGAGAACCAGUGGAGAAGAAUAAAUCAGGGAGAGAAUGGGGAGUCUGGGGACCACGGAGUCGGCGGGGAGGCCUCACUGAAUCGGUGACAUUUGAGCUGAAAGCCGAGCGGUGCGAGUGUGAGCUAGGCAGAUGUGCAGGGAAAAGAAACCUGAGGCAUAAGGAACAGCAUCAGCAAUGAUCAGUGCUUCUCAAACUGCUGUGCCCACGGGCCGCUGGGAGUCUUCUUCAAAUGCGGAUGCUGACCUGGCAGGUCUGGGGCGGGCCUGGCACUGGGCACUCCUGACAAGCCCCCAGGUGCAGGAGCGGCUGGUCGGCGGACCACACUCUCCGGAGCAACGGUGUGGAGCUCGACAACAGUGAACAGGUAGUGGCCGAGCUGUGUGCUGAGCAACCGCGCCGCGCCAGGUACCGGUGGGCACCUCGGCAACCACUCUCACGUCCAGUCCUCACAGCAACCCUGCAAGGCAAAGGCCCAUCAUGUUUCCUGCAGUGACAAAUAUCUUCCUCCGGAGAGCUGGGGAGGAUCUGCGUGCUGCUGUACCCCCACCCAGAGGGGCUGCCUGCUACCUGCCCGCCCCUCUCUCCCUCCUGCCUGAUCCCAGUCAAAUCUUCAGAGCACAGGGCGGCAAGGACAUCCUGAUUUGGGAAGGGCUGGCUAACCCAGAUCUAGUACACAACCUCCCGUCUGUGAGGCCACAAAUGACUCCCCGCCCUGGGGUGGUGGGAGGUCCUGGGGGCCCACGGCCUCCAGCCCUGCCCAGCCUCCUCCACGUAGCUCACUUAAUUUGUUUAGUUUUCUGCAUGGAAAGUGACAUGAAACGCUGGGCGGCUCUGAUCCAGGCCACGCAGCGGGGCACCACGUUACGGGGAGACGGCAAAAGUGUGGGCUUUGGCAUCACGGCUCCGGAUUCAAAUCUUGGCACUGCUGCUUCCUUGCUGGGUGAUGCCGGGCAAGCGAGUGUCCGUCUCUGAGCCUCAGCGCCCCCUCCCUCAGGUCUGAACAAGAAAGGGCACCAGGCCUCCAGGAAGUGGCCUCGUUCCUUUGCUGGUAGAAUGGUGACAAUUGCUAUGCUUUCCUCAGGCAGAGCGCUUGGCCCAGGGCGAAUGCUCCGUAAGGGAGGUGUCACGGGUACCAGAGGCCCAGCCCGUGAGCAGCCAGGGGUGCCGUAAGGAUGAACCUUCUCUGGGGAAAGCUGACCAGCACCAGCUCUGGGGUGGGGUCAUCUCCCAGCCUGUUUGGGGAGGGGGGGCUCUGCUCCCAUUUCCAGCCAGCUUCCAGGACAGGUAGAUCUGAGCUGUCCCGUCCAAACAUCCUCUUCCUUGUCUGGAGACUAGCGGAGCUAAAAAUGCAUUGCUCAGCCCCAGGAAAACAAACACUGAGCUUCCCUUGCCUUUGUCUACAGGACACGAGGCCCAAAGCUGCAGAGGCAGCGCGGUGGGCUCCCCCAGGCUGCCCUCAGCCUGGGGGGUCUGUCUGCCUGUCUGUCUGCCUUCCUGGGGUCUCUCCUGCCUCCCCGGUCCUCACAGCCACAGUGGCCAGAGCCUCACCGCGUGUGGGCGUCUCCAACAGAAGUGGUGGGGGGCUCUACGUGAGGACCGCCCCCCUUCCAGGUGAUGUGCCCGUAGCCUGCCCAGCCUUGGGCUCCUCCCCUAGCCCACAGGUGGGGCUGUGCGCAUGCGCAUGUGCCUAUGGCUGGAGCGGUAACAACGAUCAGCCCAGCAACCAACGCGUGUGGAGCGCUCCCGCCACGCUUUCAACACCGAGGAUGUGUUAACCUCGUGAGGUGAUCACUAUUGUUAUCCACAUUUUAUAGAUGAGAAAACUGAGGCUCAGAAAGGUGAAGUUCAAGGUCACGGGCUAGUCAAUGGCAGAGCAGGCUUUGAACCCGGGCAGUCUUUGCUGGAAAGCCUCGUCCCCGGUAGCCUGCAAGCCUCCGGUUCCUCACCCACGAAAGGAGCAGCAACGCUGCAGUCGCUCCCUUCCUGGGUGAGGGUGAAGCAGGCCCAGGCCUUGCAGCCCGGGAGGCGGGGGCAGGGCAGCGAGGGGCUCUGGGUGCGCUGACUGCAGCUACAUGGUGAGGGGGUAUGUGCGUCCUUUGCCAUCAUACAGCCUGGGGCUGGGACCUCAGGCCAUUUGUGGCUUGGCCUUGGACUGUCCCCAAUUUGGAGCCGAACAUCCCCUGGCCAUCAAGCUGGGAAAAGCACACUUGCCUGGCACUGCUAGGGCUCUCAGGAGAGCGGGGAUACCCACUCUGGACUUGAGGGUCCAAGUCUGCCCUGGGGAUGGAAACCAGCUCCUUUCUUGGCCCUGAGCCCCACUCUCAGGGUAUGAGAAGUUUUUGAUGGAGGAGAGCUUAGACUGCUCUAGACACACAGUCUAAAAAGCCCUGGCCUUGGGCGGGCCCCUCAGCAAUUAGCUGAGGGCCGUGGCCACUUGGUUUUCUGCUGAGCUCACAGCUAUCAAGGGGGUUGGGGGGGGGUAAGAGUUAUGGGGUGUGGCCCCCAGCCCACAUAACCAGCUCCCAGACUGAUUCCCAGACCUAUUGGAAAGCCUGAUUCCUCGGGGCCCCAAUGCCAAAGAUGGGCCGGGGUCUUUCCAGGUCUGUGAGGUGCCCCUGUGCAUUCGGAUUUAGAGGCUCACGUUACAAGCCCCCUCCCUGACCCCUUCUACCCCUCAGGCAGGGCAUGGCAGCUUUGCCCCAAAAGGGCCAGGACUCAAAGGAAGAAAUAGGCCAGAUAUUUACUCAUUUAUUAAUUCCUUUAGCAGACUUUUAUGGAGCAACUGCUGUAUCGUGGGAGCUGGAAUGAGGCCCUUGCUCACCCGGAUCUCAUUCUAGUGCUAGACUGAUAAAUGGGCAAUGACAAUACCAUGGGGCACAUGCUGUGGGAACCCAGAGCAAGUACCAAGCCCAGGGGGCUUAGCUGGAGGAGGUGCUAAGCCAAGUCACAGGAGGAAGAGGAGGAGGUGUUCUUUAGAGAAUUGCUCCUGUGGAAAGACCCCCACAUUGGCAUGUGUCUGCAAGGAGAGGGUACAGGAAAGGGGUUCUCCUCAGCAUGGCAUUCAGGCCGGGUGCCCUGUGGUUCCAGCUGCCUCUGCCGUCCCUGUCCUGCCCCUUCGAACCAGUGCACAAAGACAUCUGGACUGUAUUGAUCUGUGUCUAUCUCACUCAAGAGCCUGGUAGGUGCCAGAAUCCCGGCUCUGGGUCUCCCGUAUUACAUUUCUUCAUAGGGCCUGCAGACAAGUGGGUGCUCAAUGAUGCUGCUCCCAAUAGCCUCCUCUCUUUGUAUCCCUCCCCUGAGGCUGAGCCGUGUGCUCCCUCCUUUGUGCUCCUACAGUACUUUGUAAGUCAGAACUCAUGUCUGUACAGCACUUUCAGUUGGCAAAGCACCUGUACACAUAUUCAUGUGUUUGAUGCUCACAAAAGUGUAAAAUGUGUCCUAAUUAUCAUCAUCAAUCAUCCCCUGCCAAGAGGCAGCAUAGCAUGGUGGUUUAAGCAUGGGGGCUCCACAGCUGGAAUGCUUGGGUUGGAGUCUAGUCUCUACCACUUACUGGCUGUGUGACCUUGAACAAGUUGCUUAACUUCUCUGUGCUUCAAUGUCCCCACUUGUAAGAUAGGAGCAACAUACCUCACAGGAGCAUGGAGAGGCUACAUGUCGAGUAAGAACAUGACCUAUUACACGGUCCCCUCGAUAAUAAUGGUGGCUGUUCCCAUCUCUUUUAUGGACAAGAUCCAGAAGGUCAAGGUCAACAUCACCUAGCGUCCUGUGGUUUUAUCUCUAAGUCUUUAGACUUCAAAUCUUGUGUUUUGGGAUUAUCUUCCCAUCCCCCCACCCCCAAUCUCCCUCGUCACCCUGUCUCCUAAUUUAUCUGUUUAUGCAUCUGUCUGUCCUUCUGGAUAGGGGCUCCUCCAGGGUAGGAGUGUGUACCAGUCUUGGGCUGUCUCCCCAGCACCUGGAAUAGUGCCUGGCCACCGGGGAACACUCAAAUUCCGUGUUGAAGGGAUGAUGCACCCCGUGUGCCAGGCAUCAUGCUCAGUCUUUCCAGAUGGACUAUCUCAUCUGAGCCUCCAGACCACUUUAGGAGGUAGUGAAGAAUUCUACAACUGCACUGAGGUACAAUAAAACGCAUAGAUCCAUUUUGAUAGAGGUAUAUACCCGUGAACUCAUCAUUCCCAGCAAGGCUGACAAACAUCCCCAUCACCCCUAAAAUUUUCUCAGGCCUCCUUGAAAUCCUUCUCUCCCUCCAAUUCUAGAUUUAUUUCUAGUUUAUAGGGGAGGAAACCGAGGUACGGAGGGGUUAAGCUUCCCAGAGACACCCGACCAGCUCAAGUGGCCACACCAGGAUUUGAACCAAGGGGACCUGCCCCCGGCCUGCCUCCCGGCCACGGUGCCACGCUGCCUAGGCGGUCCUGGGUAGAGGGUGGGUACUUGUGGCUGUUUGUAAAGAGGCCCGCCUGGCCAAGUCCUCCCUCCCUCCUCCGCGCCCCCGCAGCCCCCUCCCCCCCUCCCCCGGCCCCGCUCAGGUCCAAGAAGAUGGCUCAUGAAGAGACAGCGGGUGUGCCUGUCUCUGCGACGGAGGCGUGAGGAGCGGGCUGGCACCCCAAAGGGAUGUCUGGGUGCCAAGGGCAGCCGACGGAGACCGUGCAAGGGGACCAGAUAAAGGUGUCCUACAGCCAGGAGCCAGGCGAUGCAGUGAGCCUGCGGGUCCCCUGGUGGGUGCUGGGCGCGUCGGGGGUGCGUGUGACUCUGUGACUGACCGCGUGUGUGGCUGCUGAAGGCAGGGCCA